rnacentral:rRNA from 1 species
AUUGAACGCUGGCGGCAGGCCUAACACAUGCAAGUCGAGCGGAUGAAGGGAGCUUGCUCCUGGAUUCAGCGGCGGACGGGUGAGUAAUGCCUAGGAAUCUGCCUGGUAGUGGGGGAUAACGUCCGGAAACGGGCGCUAUACCGCAUACGUCCUGAGGGAGAAAGUGGGGGAUCUUCGGACCUCACGCUAUCAGAUGAGCCUAGGUCGGAUUAGCUAGUUGGUGGGGUAAAGGCCUACCAAGGCGACGAUCCGUAACUGGUCUGAGAGGAUGAUCAGUCACACUGGAACUGAGACACGGUCCAGACUCCUACGGGAGGCAGCAGUGGGGAAUAUUGGACAAUGGGCGAAAGCCUGAUCCAGCCAUGCCGCAUGUGUGAAGAAGGUCUUCGGAUUGUAAAGCACUUUAAGUUGGGAGGAAGGGCAGUAAGUUAAUACCUUGCUGUUUUGACGUUACCAACAGAAUAAGCACCGGCUAACUUCGUG